rnacentral:rRNA from 1 species
GACGAACGCUGGCGGCGUGCUUAACACAUGCAAGUCGAACGGUCAGGCCCUUCGGGGUACACGAGUGGCGAACGGGUGAGUAACACGUUGGGGAUCUGCCCUGCACUUCGGGAUAAGCCUGGACAAAAGGGUCUAAUACCGGUUAGGACUCCGGACAGCAUGGACUGGGGUGUAAAGCUUUUGCGGUGUGGGAUGGGCCCGUGGCCUAUCAGCUUGUUGGUGGGGUGAUGGCCGACCAAGGCGACGACGGGUAGGCGGCCUGAGAGGGUGACCGGCCACACUGGGACUGAGACGCGGCCCGGACUCCUACGGGAGGCAGCAGUGGGGAAUCUUGCGCAAUGGGCGAAAGCCUGACGCAGCAACGCCGCGUGGGGGAUGACGGCCUUCGGGUUGUAAACCUCUCUCGACCGGGACGAAGGAUUCGUUUGACGGUACCGGUAGAAGAAGCACCGGCUAACUACGUGCCAGCCGCCGCAGUAA